rnacentral:snoRNA from 1 species
UAAGUAGGUUGCAAUUACGGUGCUUCAUUUUGGGGAAGUACUGCCAUUAUCUUGCUGAAAGAAAAACUGUGGUAAUCAUUUUUGAUUUUGCCUUUAUGAGAGUAAAAUCAUGACAGAUUGACACGGACAACU